rnacentral:RNase_P_RNA from 1 species
CAGGGCGGACGCAUGAUCGCUCCGGCUGUAAGUCUUUAAGCCGGUGAGGAAAGUCCGAACACCAUAGGGCACGGUGGUUCUUAACAGGAACUUUGGGUAAUCAAAGGAAAGUGCCACAGAAAAGACACCGCCGAUGGAACGGGUAACCGUUCACAGGUAAGGUUGAAAUGGUGAGGUAAGAGCUCACCGCCUUUAUGGCGACAUACAGGGCAGGGUAAACCCCACCGGGUGCAAGACCAAAUAGGGAAACGCUUAAGGGCUGCUCGUCUAAAGUUUCCGGGUAGGUUGCACGAGGUGCCGGGCAACUGGCAUCCCAGUCAAAUGAUCAUGGCCUGCUUUGGCAGGAACAGAAUUCGGCUUAUAGUCCGCCCUGUUUU